rnacentral:lncRNA from 1 species
GGAUUUAACCCUGUGUGGGAAGAAACCCUAACUUUUACAGUUCACAUGCCAGAAAUAGCUUUGGUUCGAUUUCUUGUGUGGGAUCAUGAUCCUAUCGGAAGAGACUUUGUGGGACAACGGACCGUGACCUUCAGCAGCCUCGUGCCUGGCUACCGGCAUGUCUACCUGGAAGGCCUCACAGAAGCGUCUAUUUUCGUUCACAUAACAAUCAAUGAGAUCUUUGGAAAGAACAGACAGCUCCAAGGCUUGAAGGGACUGUUCAAUAAGAAUCCCAGGCACGGUUCUUCAGAAAAUAACUCCCAUUAUGUUCGGAAGCGAUCAAUUGGAGAUAGAAUUCUGCGACGUACAGCCAGUGC